GACGAACGCUGGCGGCGUGCUUAACACAUGCAAGUCGAACGAAGUGGCGAACGGGUGAGUAACGCGUAAUCAACCUGCCCUUCAGAGGGGGACAACAGUUGGAAACGACUGCUAAUACCGCAUACUGAAGGAGGGGAUUGCGUCUGAUUAGCUCAUUGGGGGGGUAACGGCCCACCAAGGCGAUGAUCAGUCGCCGGUCGGGAAGGAUGAACGGCCCAAAUGGGACUGGGACACGGCCCAGACUCCUACGGGGGGCAGCAGUGGGGAAUCUUCCGCAAUGGACGAAAGUCUGACGGAGCAACUCCGCGUGAGUGAUGACGGCCUUCGGGUUGUAAAGCUCUGUUAAUCGGGACGCGGUACCGGAAUAGAAAGCCACGGCUAACUACGUGCCAGCAGCCGCGGUAAUUC
rnacentral:rRNA from 1 species